rnacentral:rRNA from 1 species
CAGUAGCCGCGGUAAUACGUAGGUCCCGAGCGUUGUCCGGAUUUAUUGGGCGUAAAGCGAGCGCAGGCGGUUAGAUAAGUCUGAAGUUAAAGGCUGUGGCUUAACCAUAGUACGCUUUGGAAACUGUUUAACUUGAGUGCAAGAGGGGAGAGUGGAAUUCCAUGUGUAGCGGUGAAAUGCGUAGAUAUAUGGAGGAACACCGGUGGCGAAAGCGGCUCUCUGGCUUGUAACUGACGCUGAGGCUCGAAAGCGUGGGGAGCAAACAGGAUUAGAGACCCCAGUAGUCCCUGUCUCUUAUACA